GUAAUGCAAUCAGAAUUCCCCAUGACUUCGUUUUCGUAACCUGUAGCAGACGAAAAAUAAUAUUCCAAGAAUUUUACUUAUAUUUAAAAAACGGUUUGAACAAAUCUACAUUAUUACAAGGAAUUAGAAAAAUGUGCUUCAUCGUCGUUAUAAGUAUUGAUAUGACUUAUACUGAAAUUCAAUAAGUAAUAUACAUUACUGAUUUACGAAUAAAUGCAUUUAAAUGAUUUUAAUUCAUUAACAACAACUUGGCAUUAAAAUUGUAGGUUCAUCAACAACAGAUCUCUUGCGGAUAAGAAAUAUGCAAAUAUGUACAUACAUCCGUCAAAAUGUACUUUUCUGUUAAAUUUAAUAUGAUUCACAGAUUUAAUGAUGGGAGGUUAAGGGAAAUUGGGAGCCUCACAACAACUUAUGGUCACAAAAAUAUGGUAUACGUUUAUUUAUAAUAUAUUAUAUAAAGAACUAAAAAUUUAAGCAAAAAUAGUUAUGUUUGAUUUAAAUAUUAGGAAAUCAAUAAUUAAAUAAAAACAAAAAGUUUGAAUAUGUAUAGCUACAAGCAAGCAAAGCUAAUCUUAGACACAGCAAAACCUUAGAACAUAUUAAAUAUUAAUCGAUUGUUCAUACAUUUUUCACAUAAAAGUUUCUUAUCCCAUAGCUGAAAUCUUACUUGGAUGAGCUAUCUGUAGAAUAUUCGAAAUAUUUCUCUAAAAAUGAAGCAAGAUAAUAGAAAUUAAAUAUUUCGUAAAUGAGAGCAAGAGGAGGUGUUAAAGCGAUAACUGCAGAAUAUUAUUAUUUUUAACUGAUGCUGGUCUAUUUCAAAAGAAACAAUUGCGUAUAAUCGGGAUAUCAGAUGGAAUUAAAAAAUUCAUCUCGGCCAAAAAAGGGAAUUAACUCCUGAACGUGGAUUAUCAUGACAAGAGUGCAUCGAUGAACUAAAAUCUUUGAAUGGCUAUGAAGCACCAUCCUAUAGCACUGUGAAAAACUGUUACAACGAAUUCAAUCGUGGCCGACCUCGCUCAAAGACGAACUCCGUGAAGGUCGUCCAAAAACAGCCGUUGUGACAGAAAACAUCGAUGCCGUACGUGAACUGAUAAUGCAAGACCGUAACAUGUAACAUACCUUCAGAUAGAGGCAUGCCUAUGCAUUUCUCCCACCAGCAUACAUUCGAUAUUGCAUGAACACCUGGCCGUAACGACUGGCACGUUCUUGUUAACUCGGCUAUAAAAAGAGGUUUCUACUGCAGUAAAAAAUAAGAAGAAGAAAACUUUGCAGUUGCUGCAUAUUGUCAACCCUGUUGGUUAUUUGCUUCACAAAGGAAUAGUGUUUGGUGUACGGAAAUUCGAGAUUGGAAGCGCUAAUGAGAAAGAAUUAAACAACACAGUUGUUCGUGUGGCCAUUUGGACGCAUGUGCUGCAUCAUUUUUGGAAAAAAAGAUGCUAAUAUUAUCGACAAGGAAUUUGAAAAUGAAAUUCGCAAGGAAGCAUUAGUUUAAAAAGGUUAUCUUCAAAGGCUAUUCGAUAUCUUACUUAACCUAGCAAAGAAUUAUUGGUUUUGAAAAGACAACAAGAAGACUUAAGUCAGGAAGGAUACCACGAAAAUUAUCAAUCAUGUGUAGAGCUUGUCGCCUGGUAUAUUCACAUUUUGCGGAUCUACAAGAUAACUGAGUGCAAUAAUUCAAAAUGAAAUGAUUGAGAGCUUGUGGACCAAAGUCAAAGAAAGAGUGUUAUAGAAUCCCAAUACAGAUGAGCAUGGUGAAACAGAGAGUAUUAAAAAAAUCCUAAAUUUCGAGUUCGUGUACAUCCAAAAAUUUACAUAAAACCGACAUCAAUUUGGGCGAGGCGAGUAAAAUUUUAGCAGAGACCAAAGCAAAGUUACAAAUUUAUAGAAAUGAUUUCGAAUUAUUCAAGCACAAAGUCAGUAAAAUUGCAAGAAAAUUUGGUAUUGAUAAAAAGAGGUAAACAAAAGUUAAAAACUAUUUUGACGAAUAAGUUGCCGAUCACCGAUUUACAAAUCAAGAAAAAUGUUUAAUUUUCAAUCAUGUCCUAACACAGUAAUAUCUCAAUACACGUUUUAUUGGUAUGAUUACAGUGUGUCAUGUAUUCGAUUUUCUAACACCAACAUUGUUAUUACAUGAACACAAGUUGCUACUUUAUUGUAAAAGUGUGACAAAUUACAAAAAAAUAAAAUUGUUCAGAUAUAAUAGGCCCUAGUUAUUCAUUUCAAUUUAUUAAUAUUUACCACUUAGUUUUAUCUCAACUAACGCAAGCAUGAAUAAAAGAAUUACCAAAUAUGGAAUUAAAAAUUAUAAAAAAUUAAAAACAAAAGCGCAUGAAGCUUGGAUUUAAAUGAAGUCAUUGUUACUUUUGCGCAAACCAAAGCUAGGAAAAAUUGUAAAUAUAAUUGUUAUUUAGUCAGUUGGUAGGCCCGAUCUUUAUGUAAUAAGCCCUGGAACUUUGGAAAUGGCUUGAUCCAGCUGAUGAGUUUUUCGGUCAUAAAACUAAAUUAUUAGAAUAUUUUGUGACAGUAUCUUUAGUGUUCCAGUAUUUGGCCUCUAAUGGGAUCGCCGUGUUGCAACAGCCGCCUUAUUCGCCCGACAUGUCACCCUGUGACUUAUUUUUGUUUCCUAAAACAAAAUCGGCGGUCAAAGGAACCCAUUUUGAGUCGAUUACGGACAUCCAGGUGCCGUGACGAGGGUACUCGCGGACAUCCUAGUCGAAGCGUUCCAGAAAUGUAACGCGCUGGAAUCGCUGGAUGGCAGAGUUGUAGAAUAAUUUUCAAAUAUACAGUUUUUAUGGAAUCAGUCUCAUUACUUAAUUGACAUACCUCGUAUGGCUUAAGCCGCUCUCGACUACCGGUCUUAGAUCAACUAUUCUUUGUAUAGCAAAAAAAAAUAUUCGCUUAAAAACGAACUAAAGUAUGAAGGUUAAAAAUCCCCUCCUCAGGGGAGCCUAAAAAUGAAAAGAAAGCAACAGCCUCGGAUAAGUGAACCCUUUUUCGAUGAUCACCCUUGCAAACGUGUUACGGAUAAUGAUUUAAGGGCAUGCACCUGGAAUGCCCGGUCCCUUAAUUGGAAAGGUGCCGCUGCCCAGCUGGUUGAUGCCCUUGUAAAAAGGGCGGAGCAUACUCUUUUAGGUGAUCUAGUGACCGAUGCCCAAAGCAUACUUAAAUUAUGGAUGGAGCACAUAUCCAGCCUGCUGAAUGGCAGUGAACGUACAACGCCAGGAGAAGGAGAACCCGAUUCCCCAAUCGAUGACAAUGGAGCAGACGUUCCAUUGCCCGACCAUGAAGAAGUUCGAAUAGCAAUUUCCCGUCUGAAGAACAACGAAGCAGCGAGGGCCGAUGGAUUUCCGGCCGAGCUAUUAAAAUACGGCGGCAAAGAAUUGAUAAGGAGCAUGCAUCUACUUCUUUAUAAAAUAUGGUCGGAUGAAAACAUGCCCAACGAUUGGAAUUUAAGUGUGCUCUGUCCAAUUCACAAAAAGGGAGAUCCCACAAUCUGCACCAACUACCGUGGGAUAAGCCUCCUCAACAUCGCGUAUAAAGUUCUAUCUAGGGUAUUGUGUGAAAGAUUAAAGCCACCAUCAACAAACUGAUGGAAGCUUUUCAGUGUAGCUUUAGACCAAAUAUUCACCAUGCGCCAAGUUUUAGAAAAGACCCGUGAAAAGAGAAUUGACACAAACCACCUCUUCGUCGAUUUUAAAGCUGCUUUCGGCAGCACGAAAAGAAGCUGUCUUAAUGCCGCGAUGUUUGAAUUUGGUAUCCCCGCAGAACUAAUACGGCAGUGUAAACUGACGUUGAGUAACACCAAAAGCUCCGUCAGGAUCGGGAAGGACCUCUCCGAGCCGUUCGAUACCAAACGAGGUUUCAGACAAGGCCCUUUCGUGCGAAUUUUUCAAUCUGCUACUGGAGAAAUUAAUUCGAGCUGCAGAACUUAAUCGAGGAGGUACAAUCUUUUAUAAGAGUGUACAGCUGCUGGCGUAUGCCGAUGAUAUUGAUAUCAUCCGCCUCAACACUCGCGCCGUUAGUUCUGCUUUCUCCAGAAUAGACAAGGAAGCAAAACAAAUGGGUCUGGCAGUGAACGCGGACAAGACGAAAUAUCUCCUGUCAUCAAACCAACACUCACGUCAUUACUUUGAAGUUGUAGAUAAUUUCGUCUAUCUUGGAACUAGCGUAAACACCAGCUACAAUGUCAGCCUAGAAAUCCAACGCAGGAUACCUCUUGCCAACAGGUGCUACUUCGGACUGAGUAGGCAAUUGAGAAGUAAAGUCCUUUCGCGACGAACAAAAACCAUACUCAUAUUCAUAAUUCCUGUCCUGCUAUAUGGUGCAGACGAUGGACGAUGUCAACAACGGAUGAGUCGACGUUGCGAGUUUUCGAGAGAAAAGUUCUGCGAAAGAUAUAUGGUCCUUUGCGCGUUGGCCACGGCGAAUAUCGCAUUCGAUGGAACGAUGAGCUGUACGGGAUAUACGACGACAUUGACAUAGUUCAGUUAAUUAAAAAACAGCGGCUACGCUGGCUAGGUCAUGUUGUCCGGAUGGAUGAAAACACUCCAGCUCUCAAAGUAUUCGACGCAGUACCUGCCAGGGGAAGCAGAGUUGGAAGGACCAGGUGGAGAAGGACCUGGCCUCGCCAAGCGAAAAGAAGAAACGACUGGCGCGCGGCGGUUAACUCGGCUAUAAUCGCGUAAGCGGUGUCUACGCCAAUUAAGAAGAAGAAGUGUAUAUGUUUGUAUGUAUUGCAUCCUAUUGUUUAUGUUGAGUGAUAUGGGGUUGUUGAAGCAGGGAUAAUGGGACGCCCAACUUAUUCCAGUGUGAGAGCGCCUCAAAAUAAGCCUUGUUUAUAACAUUUUCCAUUAUGGCCAGAUCGAACAAAAUAACAAUUUUUGGGCAUUUAAAUUAAAACAACCAACACUUAUUACGAUUGCAGAUUGUUAUAUAUUGGACUUUUAAUAUAUGGCGAAACUACUUAAAUAAUUUUUUAUAGUUUUAUGGUAUAUUAAAAUAACUAGCUUUUGAUCUUUCAAUACUUAAUAAGGUGAAUUAAGCGUGUUAGUUCUCAAUUAUUUGAUAAAUGUUUUUAAUCUUUUUUAAUUGAAAUAUAAUUCUACUAUGCAAAACUUUUGAUGAAAUAAAUUCGCAUUUUCUUUCAUUUUCAUUGUUUUAAUUUUUUAUUACCCAUCAUGGAAGGCGGCAAUAAAUUUCUCCGUUCACAUAAGUAUAUUUUUGUUAUAAUUUCAAUCUGGCCGUUCCAGUCAUUCCAAUUGCAAAACGUCAAAACCUACCCAAGCCAGCCAACUGUCAAAGUUUGGUAGGUGAGCGGUUCUCAUAUUUUCAGUGACAGGAAAGUUGGAGAUCUCUUUAUCUCUGGUUUGAAGUAGGCGACGCAUUGGCGGCAUAUAUUAAGGCACUUUGAAUUGUAAAUGCGCGAAUAAGUAUAGUACGAGGGCUGCUAUAUAUAUUUCUGGCCUAAUAAUGAAAAUAAGCAUAUUUAUCAACGAAAAUCGUUUUUUUUUUGUUGGAUUUGGCUCGUCGUGGAAGACCCACACGGUCGAUUGCUCUUUUGUUUCUGUCUCAUACAUGAUUCCAUGAUUCGUCACCUGUAACGUUCUUAUAAACGUCUUUUGAAGCACCGCGAUCGUAUUUUUUCAGCAUUUCUUUACACCAAUCCACACGAGCCUUUUUUUGAGCGAUUGUCAAAUUGUGCGGGAUCCAAGGACUACAAACCUUUUUUACGGCCAGGUGUUCAUGCAAUAUCGAAUGUAUGCUGGUGGGAGAAAUGCGUAGGCAUGCCUCUAUCUCAAGGUAUGUUACAUGACGGUCUUGCUUUAUCCGUUCACGUACGGCAUCGAUGUUUUCUGGCACAACGGCUGUUUUUGGACGACCUUCACGGAAUUCGUCUUUGAGCGAGCGUCGGCCACGAUUGAAUUCGAUGUACCAGUUUUUCACAGUGCUAUAGGAUAGUGCUUCAUAGCUAUACAAAGAUUUUAGUUCAUCGAUGCACUCUUGUCGUGAUAAUUCACAUCGAAAGUUGUGAAAAAUGAUCGCACUAAAAUGUUCACGAGUUAAUUCCAUUUUUUGGCCGAGAUGAUUUUUUUAAUUCCCUGUAAAUAAAACAAUUCACGAUUAAAUGACAAAAUGUUCUGAGUGAUGUUAUGCUAAAAAAUGUCAAACUUUCCAAUGGAAAUGUCAGAUUGCACCUGGCAAAACUUAGUGUUGCCUAGUCCAGAAAUAUAUAUAACAUGAAUAGAGAAAAUGUUAUUGAGUGAGGUCUGAUCGUAUUCGAAUAGAGAGAGGAGAGGCGAGCAGCCUUAGGUACUUUUAGAGUAAUGAAGGAGUGCGAAAUAAUUACGUGCUGUGUCCUCGCAGAAUCGGUUCAAAAAGAGGCAUCGAUAGGAUCAGAACUUGCUGUGCUAUAUUAGUAAAAAUAUAAAGUGAAGAUAUUGUUCAGGUAAGAUAAAAGUGUAAAGUGAUACAAAAAAAAGAAUCAUCUACGAACAAAAUCUCCGACAUACACAUUUUUCUCUGUUAAAAAUGGGAUAUUAAAGAACUUAUUUUAUCUUCAUAUUCAUAUUCUUGUUCUUUGGUUGAAUAAGUGA